GUGGGGAAUAUUGGACAAUGGGGGGAACCCUGAUCCAGCCAUGCCGCGUGUGUGAAGAAGGCCUUUUGGUUGUAAAGCACUUUAAGCGAGGAGGAGGCUACCGAGAUUAAUACUCUUGGAUAGUGGACGUUACUCGCAGAAUAAGCACCGGCUAACUAUGUGCCAGCAGCCGCGGUAAUACAGAGGGUGCAAGCGUUAAUCGGAUUUACUGGGCGUAAAGCGCGCGUAGGUGGCCAAUUAAGUCAAAUGUGAAAUCCACGAGCUUAACUUGGGAUUUGCAUUCGAUACUGGUUGGCUAAAGUAUGGAAGAGGAUGGUAGAAUUCCAGGUGUAGCGGUGAAAUGCGAAGAGAUCUGGAGGAAUACCGAUGGCGAAGGCAGCCAUCUGGCCUAAUACUGACACUGAGGUGCGAAAGCAUGGGGAGCAAACAGGAUUAGAUACCCUGGUAGUCC
rnacentral:rRNA from 1 species